GGGGAUUUAGCUCAGUGGUAGAGCACUUGCCUAGCAAACACAAGGCCCUGGGUUCAGUCCCCA
rnacentral:tRNA from 1 species